rnacentral:tRNA from 1 species
GGGACUGUAGCUCAGUGGUAGAGCACUUGCCUAGAAUGCAUGAGGCACUGGGUUCAAUCCUCAGCACCA